GGGAGUCUUGUCCUAACAGGGCCAAUCAUAUUGUCUCGUUUUGGCUUUUAAUGGAGGAAUAAAUUUUAUAAUUGAGAGCCGUGCUAAACUCUCUACCAAUGGAGCUACACCUCCAGUUCCUAGAUCAAUUUUUUUUUCCAGGAAAUAAUGGACGUGACAUGACUUUAGAAGACAAUUUACAGUGUGAAAAGCAUGGACGCCUCAGCCCUCUGAGUGGCGAAGAACUGGGUGAGCCUACGGGACAUGUGUCAUAGACCCCUUCAUACUCAGCUCCACCCUAUGUGGACUCAAGAGCCUUCCAGGCUCCCAAAAAUAGAAGGUUCAAACGGGGAGAGCAAAGUUGAGGCCUUGGAGCCGUGAUGUGUGGCGGUCCACAGUAGCUACCAGAGGAGGAUGGACAACCUGCUGAAGACCACCAUGCCUGUCUCAAGGUGUUCCUCAAGCCCGUCUGUUCAUCAGCACAGGAGCCUAGCAGGCAUAUCAACACCCUAGAAAUGAUCUGUCAUAUCCCCACUCCAAUCGUAUCAUUUACAGGAACCCCCAUCAUGAGGAAGAUGUCAGACUCAGAGGCUAGGGAACAUCCAGACUCCUAGAGCGUUCACAGCUCUGCAUCUUACUUCUGAAUUUGCAACAAGAGGACUAACCCUGAGAGAGGUCAAAGUGGCCAGACAAUGACACGGAAGGACCAAGACAAGAACCCAGGUUGGGCUUCUCCCGCCUGCCUCUCCGGGGC
rnacentral:lncRNA from 1 species